rnacentral:misc_RNA from 1 species
GCGAGUUCCAGUCUCAUAAAUGGACUAUUUAUGUUCGUGGUGCAACUAAUGAGGAUCUGGGUGUGGUGGUGAAACGUGUUGUUUUUCAAUUGCACUCAAGUUUUAACAAUCCUACAAGGGUUGUGGACAACCCUCCUUUUGAGUUAUCAGAAUCUGGAUGGGGUGAAUUUGAAAUUGUGAUGACCCUUCAUUUCCACACUGAUGUUUGCGAUAAGCCAUUACACUUAUAUCACCAUUUAAAACUAUAUCCAGAGGAUGAAUCUGGG